ACGUUGAAACACCGGUUUUCAUACGAUCACUGAAGUUAAGCAACGCCGAGCAUAAUCAGUACCGUGGUGGGUAAUCGCUUUGGAAGACCAGGUGUUGUAA